CCACUCUGUCGCCAAGGCUGGAGUGCAGUGUCAAGAUCUUGGCUCACUGUCGCCUCUGCCUCCCGGGUUCAAGCGAUUCUCUUGCCUCAGCCUCCUAGCAGCUGGGAUUACAGGCACAUGCCACAAUGCCCAGCUAAUUUUUUUGUAGUUUUAGUACACACAAGAUUUCACCAUGUUGGCCAGACUUGUCUUGAACUCGUGACCUUAGGAGAUCUACCCUCCUUGGCCUUUCAAAAUGCUAGCAGUACAGACGUGAGCCACCGUGCCCAGCCCCAACUGCAUUUAGAGCACAGAACAGAUGGUCUAGUGUGAAAACAUGAAUUUACCCAGUGUGUAUGAUGAGACCAAGGCACCAUUAGAUUGUCCAGCAAGUCACAAGCUGAUACAAAUGUGAUUUGUGAAAUAUUGAAGCUGUUGAAUCAUCUCACACUAUUGAGGAGGUUCCUACUACUUAUUGCGAUACUAGGUUUAAGAGAAGAACAGAAGGUUCAAGUGGCUGAAGGAGAAAGAGGUACAGAGAGU
rnacentral:lncRNA from 10 species